rnacentral:rRNA from 1 species
UACGGAGGGUGCGAGCGUUGUCCGGAAUCACUGGGCGUAAAGGGCGCGUAGGCGGCUGGGGUAGUCCGUGGUGAAAGCUCGAGGCUCAACUUCGAGUCGGCCAUGGAUACUCCUCGGCUUGAGCACUGUAGAGGCAGGUGGAAUUCCGGGUGUAGCGGUGGAAUGCGUAGAGAUGUGGAGGAAUACCGAUGGCGAAGGCAGCCCCCUGGGAUAACACUGACGCUCAUGCACGAAAGCGUGGGGAGCAAACAGG